rnacentral:rRNA from 1 species
UACGUAGGGUGCAAGCGUUAAUCGGAAUUACUGGGCGUAAAGCGUGCGCAGGCGGAUUUGUAAGUCUGAUGUGAAAUCCCCGGGCUCAACCUGGGAAUUACAUUGGAGACUGCAAGGCUAGAAUCUGGCAGAGGGGGGUAGAAUUCCACGUGUAGCAGUGAAAUGCGUAGAGAUGUGGAGGAACACCGAUGGCGAAGGCAGCCCCCUGGGUCAAGAUUGACGCUCAUGCACGAAAGCGUGGGGAGCAAACAGG